rnacentral:rRNA from 1 species
CGGCGCUAAUACCUCAUAAUGCAGCGGAUCCGCAUGGAUAUGUUGUUAAGGUUUAACCGCCUUGGGAUAGGCUUGCGUCUGAUUAGCUAGUUGGUGUGGUAACGGCACACCAAGGCUACGAUCAGUAACUGGUCUGAGAGGAUGAUCAGUCACACUGGAACUGAGGACACGGUCCAGACUCCUACGGGAGGCAGCAGUGAGGAAUAUUGGGCAAUGCUCGAAAGAGUGACCCAGCAACGCCGCGUGGAGGAUGAAGGUAUUCUAUAUCGUAAACUCCUGUGAGAGCAGACGAAAGACAGAUUAUUAAUCUGGAUGACUGUAUGCUCAGAGGAAGCCCCGGCUAACUACGUG